rnacentral:rRNA from 1 species
CAUAAUGGAUAGCAAUAUCUAUGGUGGCGACCGGCGCACGGGUGCGUAACGCGUAUGCAACCUACCUUUAACAGGGGGAUAACACUGAGAAAUUGGUACUAAUACCCCAUAAUAUCAUAGAAGGCAUCUUUUAUGGUUGAAAAUUCCGAUGGUUAGAGAUGGGCAUGCGUUGUAUUAGCUAGUUGGUGGGGUAACGGCUCACCAAGGCGACGAUACAUAGGGGGACUGAGAGGUUAACCCCCCACACUGGUACUGAGACACGGACCAGACUCCUACGGGAGGCAGCAGUGAGGAAUAUUGGUCAAUGGACGCAAGUCUGAACCAGCCAUGCCGCGUGCAGGAUGACGGCUCUAUGAGUUGUAAACUGCUUUUGUACGAGGGUAAACGCAGAUACGUGUAUCUGUCUGAAAGUAUCGUACGAAUAAGGAUCGGCUAACUCCGUGCCAGCAGCCGCGGUAAUACGGAGGAUUCAAGCGUUAUCCGGAUUUAUUGGGUUUAAAGGGUGCGUAGGCGGUUUGAUAAGUUAGAGGUGAAAUUUCGGGGCUCAACCCUGAACGUGCCUCUAAUACUGUUGAGCUAGAGAGUAGUUGCGGUAGGCGGAAUGUAUGGUGUAGCGGUGAAAUGCUUAGAGAUCAUACAGAACACCGAUUGC